GCUGCACCGCUGUUGUUAGCUCCAUUCCCCACACUUUUACUGAAUGUAUUUCAAUGGGUGGGGGGGGGGGGCUGCUAAAUUGUCAUUCUGCCCAGGCUUCAAAAUAAUUUCCGUGUAAAUACCAACCAUAGCAGACUGACUUUGACAAAAAAUUGGGAGAGCUAACCGAGGAUUUCAAUACGUGUUGUAGUUUGCGAGGCAUGACAAGUAGAGAUCAGAGACACGUGGUUAUGUUCUGACGGAAAUGUAAUAAUUUGAAACCACUGAACUGGGAUCAAUCCCGAUUGGUUGCACCAUGGCCUAGUAUGGAAACGUCAAUGCCCACGAAUGGAAAAAAUCUACAAAAACUGGUGGACAUAGCCUAGUUUAUCACAGACACAGCCCUCACUACCACCAUUCAACACAACUACCAAGAGCGCUGCCACAAGAAUGCAGCAUCCAUCAUCAGGGACCUCCACCAUCCAGGCCAUGCUCUCUUCUUGCUGCUGCCAUCAGGAAGGAGGACCAGGAGCUUUACAUUGCAUACCACCAGGAUCAGAAAUUAUGAAGAACCUUCAUCCUCUUGAAGUUGGCACAUGAAAGGUAAAAGAUCUGAGGAGGCAAUUCCCGGAGUUUUGAGUAUAGUAUCACUACCAUACAAGGUAUUCAUGGAACAAACUGAUGCAGAUAAAUAAAAGAGGAAAUGAAAACUCAGAUAUAACACCUCAAGGAAAAAUGAUUGGGAUUUUUUUCAGAGGAACAUUUAAUGCUACACUCUGUGGUGAAUAUCCUUGUGGAUACUUGGACCCAAAAGUUUUCUAAUUGCCCAAGGCAACAUCGUCACCUGAGAUACCCAUGCUUGUUCAAGAGGCUAUUACCUGGUGGUUAAACAGAAAUGGGAAGUUGCUGAUGGAUCAAUAAUGGUCUCCAUCCAAACAUACAAUUCCUCAACUUACAAAUUUAAGUGAGGAUUAUUCGCGUCAAUAUAUACUGAAGUGCAUAAAUUUGAAGUGGAGCCAAUUAAACUCUCCUUCAUAAUUCAAAAAGUGCACUGAAGCAAACAUAAGACUACAGUUUAAAGAAAUCUUAUUGUAUUUUAUGCAUGCAAUGUAGAGUGAAGAAUGUGCCUAUUCAGACUGCAUGGGAUGUUAAUUCUGAUUUCCUGACUGUAACCACACUUAGUUUGGUAGAUUGAACAUAAAAUGAUCCCACAGAUAUGUUUGAAACCACAAACAUUGCACAUUGUUAGAUAGGCUGUAUUUAAAAAUCACAAUUAUAUUGCUUUGCGGGAACCAAGAACUGUAAUUUUAAUUCAAUCC